rnacentral:tRNA from 1 species
AAGAAUUUGGCCGGGAGAUGUCCGCCUGGCACGCGGAUGCGCAAGCAAGUCAGAUGGCGGUCCUUGGUAACACGCCAGGCGUUUUUG